AAUGCAUAGGAAUCUGCCCGGUAGUGGGGGAUAACCUGAGGAAACUCAGGCUAAUACCGCAUACGUCCUACGGGAGAAAGCAGGGGCUCUUCGGACCUUGCGCUAUCGGAUGAGCUUAUGUCGGAUUAGCUGGUUGGUGAGGUAACGGCUCACCAAGGCGACGAUCCGUAGCUGGUCUGAGAGGAUGAUCAGCCACAUCGGGACUGAGACACGGCCCGAACUCCUACGGGAGGCAGCAGUGGGGAAUAUUGGACAAUGGGGGCAACCCUGAUCCAGCCAUGCCGCGUGUGUGAAGAAGGCCCUCGGGUUGUAAAGCACUUUCAGUGAGGAAGAAGGCUUGUCGGUUAAUACCCGGCAAGAAAGACAUCACUCACAGAAGAAGCACCGGCUAACUCCGUGCCAGCAGCCGCGGUAAUACGGAGGGUGCGAGCGUUAAUCGGAAUUACUGGGCGUAAAGCGUGCGUAGGCGGCUUGAUAAGCCGGUUGUGAAAGCCCCGGGCUCAACCUGGGAACGGCAUCCGGAACUGUCAGGCUAGAGUGCAGGAGAG
rnacentral:rRNA from 1 species